AUAGAUUAAUGUGUAUUUUUACAGCAUUUAUUUAUUAUGAGAUUACUCUUUUGAACGCAACUCUAUGAUCGCUUGUUUAACUCUUUUGAGUACCCUCACACUAAGCAAUGAACUGGCGAAAUGCGACAACGAAAUGUUUACAUAUAUAAAUAAAACUUACAUAUUUCGAUGAAUAUCCGUAUGCAACGAUUGACCUGUUAGAAAACUGGAAGCUCCAUCAUCCAUACUGAAUGUUAACGAAACUGUAAGAUCGCUUAAUAGCUCUCUAAUUUACACACACACAAUGAUAGAAUAGUGGUAUUGGUGAUAUGCAAUGAACUGACGAUAUAAUAUAAAUAUAACUAACAUAUUUCGAUGAAUAUCCGUGUGCACCGACUUUCCCCUUCUAUACAAAGUGUAUACAAACACUUUUCACAACUUUUCCGUUAUUUCUCUGACCUAAUUACCACGAAAAACAACCAUUUUCUUCAGCGACGAAAGAAAGGUGCACAGAUAGCUUAACAUGGCCGACCCGAUACUCGAUACUCGAUGCUUUUUUUCCUCUCUUGCAAAAAGUUGACCGUGUUAGAAAGCUGGAUGCUACAUUAUGGAGGUACAUACGGAUGUGUGUAUGUUUACGUUUUGCCAAAUUAGGCAAAAAAGUCUCUUUAACCCUUCUAUACGAAAUAUAUUAUUAUUACAACAAGCGGGUUCUUUAACAGCUUUUUAAUUUUUUUCUUAUUUAUUAUGAAAUUAUACUUUUAAAAAUAACUGUAAGAUCGCUUUAUUAACUAUCUGAUUUACACACACACAAUGAUAGAAUAGUGGUAUUGGAGAGAGGCAAUGAACUGACGAAAUGGGACAACGAAAAGUUUACAAAUAUAAAUAAAACUUACAUAUUUCGAUGAAUAUCCGUGUGCACCGACUUUCCCCUACUUUUGUAUACACUUUUCACAACUUUUCCGUUAUUUCUCUGACCUAAUUACCACGAAAAACAACCAUUUUCUUCAUCGACGAAAGAAAGGUGCACAGAUAGCUUAACAUGGCCGACCCGAUACUCGAUACUCGAUGCUUUUUUUCCUCUCUUGCAAAAAGUUGACCGUGUUAGAAAGCUGGAUGCUACAUUAUGGAGGUACAUACGGAUGUGUGUAUGUUUACGUUUUGCCAAAUUAGGCAAAAAAGUCUCUUUAACCCUUCUAUACGAAAUAUAUUAUUAUUACAACAAGCGUGUUAUUUAACAGCUUUUUACUUUUUUUCUUAUUUAUUAUGAAAUUAUACUUUUAAAAAUAACUGUAAGAUCGCUUUAUUAACUAUCUGAUUUACACACACACAAUGAUAGAAUAGUGGUAUUGGAGAGAGGCAAUGAACUGACGAAAUGCGACAACGAAAAGUUUACAAAUAUAAAUAAAACUUACAUAUUUCGAUGAAUAUCCGUAUGCAACGAUUGACCUGUUAGAAAACUGGAUGCUCCAUCAUCCAUGCUGGAUGUUAACAACACUGUUGUUGACCCAUCAGAAGGCUGGAUGCUACAUCAUCCAUGUAGGAGGUACAUGUUCUGCGAAACUACGCAAAAUUCGACUGGAUCGACAAAAGUUACAUUAAAAGUAUAUAAAUGUGAUUUAAAAUAAAUGACAGGGUCCUAUGCAGCUUCUGAUCGUUCUUAAUAUGUUAUAUAAUCAUAAUCCGUCAAUUCAAAAAUAUAACUUCAUUAUAUUUGCUUUACUCGA